rnacentral:rRNA from 1 species
CAGUAGCCACGGGAAUACGUAGGUGGCAAGCGUUGUCCGGAAUUAUUGGGCGUAAAGCGCGCGUAGGUGGUUUAAUAAGUCUGAUGUGAAAGCCCCCGGCUCAACCGGGGAGGGUCAUUGGAAACUGGGAAACUUGAGUGCAGAAGAGGAGAGUGGAAUUCCACGUGUAGCGGUGAAAUGCGUAGAGAUGUGGAGGAACACCAGUGGCGAAGGCGACUCUCUGGUCUGUAACUGACGCUGAGGAGCGAAAGCGUGGGGAGCGAACAGGAUUAGAUACCCGAGUAGUCCCUGUCUCUUAUAC